rnacentral:rRNA from 1 species
AUUGAACGCUGGCGGCAGGCUUAACACAUGCAAGUCGCACGAGUGGCGGACGGGUGAGCAACGUUUGGGAAUCUAGCUUAUGGAGGGGGAUACCUACUGGAAACUGUAGCUAAUACCGCGUACCAUAGGAUGAGCUCAAGUGGGAUUAGGUAGUUGGUGAGGUAACGGCUCACAAAGCCGACGAUCUCUUGCUGGUCUGAGAGGGUGACCAGCCACACUGGAACUGAGACACGGCCCAGACUCCUACGGGAGGCAGCAGAGGGGAAUAUUGCGCAAAGGGGGCAACCUGACGCGGCCAUGCCGCGUGAAUGAAGAAGGCCUUCGGGUUGUAAAGUUCUUUAGGUAGCAGGGCGUUAACUACAGAAGAAGCACCGGCUAACUCCGUGCCAGCAGCCGCGGUAAUUC